GAAUAUUGGCCAAUGGGGGGAACCCUGAUCCAGCCAUGCCGCGUGUGUGAAGCCGGCCUUUUGGUUGUAACGCACUUUAAGCGAGGAGGCUGAGCUCUUGGUUACUACCCAAGCUGCUUGGACGUUCCUCGCAGAAUAAUCACCUGCUACCUCUGUGCCAGCAUCCGCGGUAAUACAGAGGGUGCAAGCGUUAAUCGGAUUUACUGGGCGUAAAGCGCGCGGAGGUGGACAAUUAAGUCAAAUGUGAAAUCCCCGAGCUUAACUUGGGAAUUGCAUUCGAUACUGGUUGGCUAGAGUAUGGGAGAGGAUGGUAGAAUUCCAGGUGUAGCGGUGAAAUGCGUAGAGAUCUGGAGGAAUACCGAUGGCGAAGGCAGCCAUCUGGCCUAAUACUGACACUGAGGUGCGAAAGCAUGGGGAGCAAACA
rnacentral:rRNA from 1 species